rnacentral:rRNA from 1 species
CAAUAGCGUAUAUUUAAGUUGCUGCAGUUAAAAAGCUCGUAGUUGGAUUUCGGGUGGGAAUGGCCGGUCCGCCGUUUCGGUGUGCACUUGCUACGCCCACCUUGCUGCCGGGGACGUGCUCUUGAGUUCACGCUCGGGACACGGAGUCGGCGAGGUUACUUUGAGUAAAUUGGAGUGUUCAAAGCAGGCCUACGCUCUGAAUACAUUAGCAUGGAAUAACACGAUAGGACUCUGGCCUAUCUUGUUGGUCUGUAGGACCGGAGUAAUGAUUAAGAGGGACAGUCGGGGGCACUCGUAUUUCAUUGUCAGAGGUGAAAUUCUUGGAUUUAUGAAAGACGAACUACUGCGAAAGCAUUUGCCAAGGAUGUUUUCAUUAA